rnacentral:tmRNA from 1 species
GGGGCUGACUUGGAUUUCGACAGAUUUCUUGUCGCACAGAUAGCAUGCCAAGUGCUACUUGUAAAACAGCGACAAAAAUAACUGUAAACAACACAGAUUACGCUCCAGCUUACGCUAAAGUUGCGUGAGUUAAUCUCCUUUUGGAGCUGGACUGAUUAGAAUUUCUAGCGUUUUAAUCACUCCAUAACCUUAAGCUAGACGCUUUUAAAAGGUGGUUCGCCUUUUAAACUAAGAAACAAGAACUCUUGAAACUAUCUCAAGGUUUUAGAAAGUUGGACCAGAGCUAGUUUUAAGGCUAAAAAGCUAACCAAUUUUCUAAGCAUUGUAGAAGUUUGUGUUUAGGACAAGAUUUUUGGACUGGGGUUCGAUUCCCCACAGCUCCACC